ACACAUGCAGUCGAGCGNGAGAUAGACGCGUGCUUGCACCUUAUCUUAGCGGCGGACGGGUGAGUAAUGCUUAGGAAUCUGCCUAUUAGUGGGGGACAACAUUUCGAAAGGAAUGCUAAUACCGCAUACGCCCUACGGGGGAAAGCAGGGGAUCUUCGGACCUUGCGCUAAUAGAUGAGCCUAAGUCGGAUUANCNNGUUGGUGGGGUAAAGGCCUACCAAGGCGACGAUCUGUAGCGGGUCUGAGAGGAUGAUCCGCCACACUGGGACUGANACACGGCCCAGACUCCUACGGGAGGCAGCAGUGGGGAAUAUUGGACAAUGGGGGGAACCCUGAUCCAGCCAUGCCGCGUGUGUGAAGAAGGCCUUUUGGUUGUAAAGCACUUUAAGCGAGGAGGAGGAGCUCUAGAUUAAUACUCUAGAUGCUUGGACGUUACUCGCAGAAUAAGCACCGGCUAACUCUGUGCCAGCAGCCGCGGUAAUACAGAGGGUGCAAGCGUUAAUCGGAUUUACUGGGCGUAAAGCGUGCGUAGGUGGUCUUUUAAGUCGGAUGUGAAAUCCCUGAGCUUAACUUAGGAAUUGCAUUCGAUACUGGGAGACUAGAGUAUGGGAGAGGAUGGUAGAAUUCCAGGUGUAGCGGUGAAAUGCGUAGAGAUCUGGAGGAAUACCGAUGGCGAAGGCAGCCAUCUGGCCUAAUACUGACACUGAGGUACGAAAGCAUGGGGAGCAAACAGGAUUAGAUACCCUGGUAGUCCAUGCCGUAAACGAUGUCUACUAGCCGUUGGGGCCUUUGAGGCUUU
rnacentral:rRNA from 1 species